CAGCAGGGACGAAGCGGAAGUGACGGUACCUGCAGAAGAAGCACCGGCCAACUACGUGCCAGCAGCCGCGGUAAUACGUAGGGUGCAAGCGUUGUCCGGAAUUAUUGGGCGUAAAGAGCUCGUAGGCGGUUUGUCGCGUCGGCUGUGAAAACCUGGAGCUCAACUCCAGGCCUGCAGUCGAUACGGGCAGACUUGAGUGUUGCAGGGGAGACUGGAAUUCCUGGUGUAGCGGUGAAAUGCGCAGAUAUCAGGAGGAACACCGGUGGCGAAGGCGGGUCUCUGGGCAACAACUGACGCUGAGGAGCGAAAGCGUGGGGAGCGAACAGGAUUAGAUACCCUGGUAGUCCACGCCGUAAACGUUGGGCGCUAGGUGUGGGGCUCAUUCCACGAGUUCCGUGCCGCAGCUAACGCAUUAAGCGCCCCGCCUGGGGAGUACGGCCGCAAGGCUAAAACUCAAAGGAAUUGACGGGGGCCCGCACAAGCGGCGGAGCAUGUUGCUUAAUUCGAUGCAACGCGAAGAACCUUACCUAGGCUUGACAUGCACGGAAAUCUCCCAGAGAUGGGGGGUCCGUAAGGGCCGUGCACAGGUGGUGCAUGGUUGUCGUCAGCUCGUGUCGUGA
rnacentral:rRNA from 1 species